AGUGUUGGCUCGCGACUGCGGCGGACAUGGUGCACGGGCACAGCCAGCAUGCAGUGUGUGAGAGCUACUCUACACACCUGCCUGCAUGAUUGCUGAUGCAACACGGAAGAAAGAACUCUUGAGCAACAAGAAUAUAUCAGCAACGUCCUUUCCAGAAGCUACAGCAGAACAAGCGGCAGUUUUACUACAAGUACCCUUACUAACAGAAAUCGGGAGUUGUACUACGAAGCUCGCUCUGUACGAGUCAUUUUCGCCGAACUAUUGUUGUCUAAUAAAGGCUCUUCAUGUUGAGCA